AUUGAACGCUGGCGGCAUGCCUUACACAUGCAAGUCGAACGGCAGCAUGGGUGCUUGCACCUGAUGGCGAGUGGCGAACGGGUGAGUAAUGCAUCGGAACGUACCCGGAAGUGGGGGAUAACGUAGCGAAAGUUACGCUAAUACCGCAUAUUCUGUGAGCAGGAAAGCGGGGGAGUCGCAAGACCUCGCGCUUCCGGAGCGGCCGAUGUCGGAUUAGCUAGUUGGCGGGGUAAAGGCCCACCAAGGCAACGAUCCGUAGCGGGUCUGAGAGGAUGAUCAGCCACACUGGGACUGAGACACGGCCCAGACUCCUACGGGAGGCAGCAGUGGGGAAUAUUGGACAAUGGGCGAAAGCCUGAUCCAGCCAUGCCGCGUGAGUGAUGAAGGCCUUAGGGUUGUAAAGCUCUUUCAGUAGGGAAGAUAAUGACGGUACCUACAGAAGAAGCCCCGGCUAACUUCGUGCCAGCAGCCGCGGUAAAGUGCG
rnacentral:rRNA from 1 species